GUCUAGAAAUUUGGGCAAUGGGCGAAAGCCUGACCCAGCGACACCGCGUGGAGGAUGAAGUUCUUCGGGAUGUAAACUCCUGACAGGCGGAACGAUGCCGUACGGUAGUAACUGCCCGUGCGGUGACGGUACUGCCAAAGGAAGCACCGGCUAACUACGUGCCAGCAGCCGCGGUAAUACGUAGGGUGCAAGCGCUGUCCGGAUUUACUGGGCGUAAAGGGUGUGCAGGCGGACUGGCGGGUCCAUGGUGAAAUCUCGCGGCUCAACCGCGAAACUGCUGUGGAAACUACCAGCCUAGAGGACGGAAGAGGAAACUGGAACUUCCGGUGUAGCGGUAAAAUGCGUAGAUAUCGGAAGGAACGCCGAUAGCGAAGGCAGGUUUCUGGUACGUACCUGACGCUGAGACACGAAAGCUAGGGGAGCAAACAGGAUUAGAUACCCUGGUAGUCC
rnacentral:rRNA from 1 species